rnacentral:rRNA from 1 species
CACGCCGUAAACGAUGAGUGCUAGGUGUCGGGGGGGAACCCUCGGUGCCGCAGCUAACGCAAUAAGCACUCCACCUGGGGAGUACGAUCGCAAGAUUGAAACUCAAAGGAAUUGACGGGGGCCCGCACAAGCAGUGGAUUAUGUGGUUUAAUUCGACGCAACGCGAAGAACCUUACCGGGAUUUGACAUCCUACUAACGAAGCAGAGAUGCAUUAGGUGCCCUUCGGGGAAAGUAGAGACAGGUGG